rnacentral:rRNA from 1 species
UCGAGAAUUUUUCUCAAUGGGGGCAACCCUGAAGGAGCGACGCCGCGUGGAGGAUGAAGGCUUUCGGGUUGUAAACUCCUGUCAUUUGGGAACAAGUUGUACGUCGUAACUGCACGUGCAUUGAUAGUACCAGAAGAGGAAGAGACGGCUAACUCUGUGCCAGCAGCCGCGGUAAUACAGAGGUCUCGAGCGUUGUUCGGAUUCAUUGGGCGUAAAGGGUGCGUAGGUGGCACUGUAAGUCGGGUGUGAAAUCCUGAGGCUUAACCUCAGAACUGCAUUCGAUACUGCUGUGCUUGAGGACUGGAGAGGAGACUGGAAUUCAUGGUGUAGCAGUGAAAUGCGUAGAGAUCAUGAGGAAGACCAGUGGCGAAGGCGGGUCUCUGGACAGUUCCUGACACUGAGGCACGAAGGCCAGGGGAGCAAACGGGAUUAGAUACCCCCGUAGUCC